GGCACUUCAAAGAUGAGAUGGAGUUGGUCCUUCAAUACGGUGGUUCUGGAUUUGAUUGUCAUAUGUUCGAUGUGAGAGACAAUGAAAUUGGAUUCUUUAAUGCGCCACCGCUUCUAGGUUCUUUAUUCCCAGCAAGGAUAAUUAAUCGUGGGGUGUGGGGAGAUCUGGAAGAUUUACAUGACUGGGAGAAAGUUAUUGUGAAUUAUGUUCUUGACCCAACUUUGUCGGCCAAUGAGAUUGUAUUUCUUGGGGAUAAAGUGAUUGGGAGGAGGGCGGACUUUCUAACAUUGAAUGCACAUCAACUGGUUAGCGCUAGAGUUGUAAAUUGUUUAGUGGAGAUUUUAUCAGCAGAGGAGGUUCAUGGACGUGGUAAGAGGAGAAGGUGUUUGUGGAUUCCGACAGUGUUAUCGGUGAGUUUUAUUUGGUUUUAAUAAGUAAUAUAAUAUAAUGUUGUUGUCUUACUAGUGAGUUGUAUUAUGUGUGAUGUUUUUAACAGUACCAAAUAACAAAUGUUGGAGUAAUUUCAAUUGUUUGUAGCGUCCUAAUCCGUACAAUUUUUCUACUAAGAGCGAAGGAAAAAAAUGGGAAGAGUGGUGUGGAGAAGUUGGUGAUUGUGAGAAGGCAUAUGCUCCUGUGCUUGCAAAGAGACAUUGGUUUCUGGCAAUUUUGAAGUUCGAAAAGAAUCUUGUUGAAUUGUAUGAUAACCUCAAAAUUCCUUCGACACCAUUUGGUCUUGCUAUAAUUGAGAAUAUGGUAGGUGUUUACUAGUGUUUUAUUUGUGGUUUUUUAGCAUGAAUUUGAUGAGGGAGAUUGAUUUUGAAGGUAGAAAUUUGUUUGGAAUAAUUUCUUUUGUUUUAGUUGGAGUCAAUGGACAAUGCAUUUAGUAAGACGUUGAAGGAGGUGCGAGGGAGUGAUUUAUGUUUCCGGGGUUUUCAUAUUGAGCAACCUGUAUCUCACAGCAAAGAGUGCGUACAGUACGACUGCGGUGUGUAUGUGAUGAAGAUGCUUCUGCAAGAAUAUGUGCCUGAAGUUCUAAGUCGACGGACAGAUGAUAAAAUAGAUGAUUUGGAACUUGGGAAAUGUGUAAGGAGUGGACCAACUAAUGUAUGUAGUUAUUUAUUCAAUAUAUUUUGCUAAAGUAUAUUUUUGUUUUUUUACUACAAUGUAACAUUUGAAUUAAUUGUUCUGUUUGUGUCCUAGGUGGCGACCGAGUGGGAUAGGCAACUUAUUGCAAGUAGAAUAUUGACUUCCGGCAUUAAUAGAGUAAGAGAUAAUCUAAUUGAAAAGGCAUCCAAAUGGUAGUGAAAGGAGUAGGGAUAUAUACGGUAUGUUUGAAGUCUUGUAGAACAAAAUUAUUUUGAUAUUCCUCAUCAGCCAUUUCUUUUGAUUGUAUUCCCCGUAAAUUCCAAUGUUUUAU